UACGAAGGGGGCUAGCGUUGCUCGGAAUCACUGGGCGUAAAGCGCGCGUAGGCGGCUUUGUAAGUUAGAGGUGAAAGCCCGGAGCUCAACUCCGGAACUGCCUUUAAAACUGCAUCGCUUGAAUCCAGGAGAGGUGAGUGGAAUUCCGAGUGUAGAGGUGAAAUUCGUAGAUAUUCGGAAGAACACCAGUGGCGAAGGCGGCUCACUGGACUGGUAUUGACGCUGAGGCGCGAAAAGCGUGGGGAGCAAACGGG
rnacentral:rRNA from 1 species